GGAAAAUGGAAAAUAUAAUUUGCACGAAAUUCCUGUUUUCUUUUCAAUCUGGUUCUUCCUCUUGGUAAUCAUUAGAUAACCAAUUUUCUUGCUGUGAAGCCAGCAUAAGAGAUUUCAUCAGAGUUUCAAUCCUUCAAUCAACAUCUGAAAGGGGAAAGUUUCCCGACACUCAUAAGCAAAGCCUGAACCAACACAAAGGCUUGUAAACGCAAUAGCAGUUAAUGCACAAACCGGUAAUGUCAUUCCAUUCAUUUCCAUCGCAAGGUACUGUAAGCAAUUUUCAUGCAUUUCAUACAAGUUGAAUGCAAAAGCAAAAUACAAAAUAUUGAAAGAAGAAAAAAAAAAGGUAAAAAAAAUCCCCUCUGGGAACAUUAUGCCUACUUGAUAUUUCAUCAUAAACCACAGUUAUUGAAUCAAUAGUAAUUCCUUUUUUUUUCUGUUUCGGUAAGAAUCGAUUUGGGAGGAUUAUUCUCCCAACAUAUACUGAACUCACUUGGCACUCGCAAGCUGGGUGCGGAGGAGCUUGGCUGCAGCAACCAUGUUAUUGAGAGCAGGCUUGACCUCAGAGUACUUGCGAGUCUUGAGUCCACAGUCAGGGUUAACCCACAAGAUGUUCUUCUCAAGAACUGCAAGCAUCUUGUUAAUUCUGUCAGCAAUCUCCUCAGUUGAUGGUAUUCUAGGAGAGUGGAUAUCAUAGACACCAGGGCCAAUGCCAGCACCAUACUUCACUCCCUCACGGAAGACUGAGAGGAGCUUCUCAUCAGAGCGAGAAUUCUCAAUGGUGAUCACAUCGGCAUCCAUGUCAAUAAUUGAGUGUAUAAUGUCAUUGAAGUUGGAGUAGCACAUGUGGGUGUGGAU
rnacentral:misc_RNA from 1 species